ensembl:snRNA U1 U1 spliceosomal RNA
AUACUUACCUGGCAGGGGAGAUACCGUGAUCAUGAAGGUGGUUUUCCCAGGGUGAGGCUUAUCCACUACACUCCAGAUGUGCUGACCCCUGCGAUUUCCCCAAAUGUGGGAAACUCGACUGCAUAAUUUGUGGUAGUGGGGGACUGCGUUCCCGCUCUCCCCUA